GCACGCGCUGGGCAGGUUCGCGCCGCCACGCCGACCGCCUCUGGGUUCCCAGAAAGUGGUGGGGUGUUCACGCCGUAUCUCCGUUGGGUACCUAGGCGGGACUUAGACAAACUUCAGCCUCAGCUACGAGAGUGGAACUUGGGGAAUCGGAGGUUGAGGGUUAAGGUUCAAGGCUUGCGGAUCCAGUCUGGAGUUGCUGUGUGGGCUCAUUCCGCUAACUAGGCCUGGCCUGUGCCGACUCGCUCCAGCAAACUCGAGUGUCGCAACACACUCUGUGUGCUUCAGAGCGAGUAGAGGCUUUAAAUGUUACUCUCUCCUCGUCCAAAAUGCAGAAUCAUCUUUUUACCCCAAUCAUGUUCUUUCUCUAGCCUCUCCUGUUGCUGCCGGUAAAUAUUCUUCUUUGUUUAACUAUGGGACUGUCUUUUUCCCUCCAGAGAUACUCACCCACAUACACGCAUACACCACACCUUCUGCACCAAAAACUGGGUUGUUCCCUUGAUGUAAUAUGUACCUAUCCACCUUUCCAUUUAUUUUGCUGUCAC
rnacentral:lncRNA from 1 species